rnacentral:rRNA from 1 species
AACGCGAAGAACCUUACCUGGGUUUGACAUAGGCGCGAAUGAAGCCGAAAGGUGGAAGUCCCUUCGGGGCGCGUUUACAGGUGCUGCAUGGCUGUCGUCGGCUCGUGUCGUGAGAUGUUCGGUUAAGUCCGAAAACGAGCGCAACCCCUAGGUUCAGUUACAAGUGUCUGAACCGACUGCCUGCGGCAAGUGGGAGGAAGGUGGGGAUGACGUCAAGUCAGCAUGGCCUUUAUAUCCAGGGCUACACACACGCUACAAUGGCGCGUACAGUGGGUCGCGAAGCCGCGAGGCGGAGCCAAUCCUUCAAAGCGCGUCGUAGUUCGGAUUGCAGGCUGCAACUCGCCUGCAUGAAGUCGGAGUUGCUAGUAACCGCCGGUCAGCAUACGGCGGUGAAUAUGUUCCCGGGCCUUGUACACACCG